UCCAACCUCUGCCUGCAUUUAACUACGCCUUAGCCUGACCCCUUGGUACUUCGCUUCUUUGAAACCCGUCUUCUGGAAACGACCUUUGCCUGCACUUGACUACGCCUUGCCUGAUCCCUUGUUACUUGGUAACUCGCCUGGCUUCUGUACCACCUCCACAGCAGAAAGCCCGGGGCCCCAAAAGGGCGUCGGUGAAUACCGGAGCCGUAGAGAGGUUCCUGUUACCAUCAGUUCUCCUGGAUCAGCUACCUUCCUCCGGGAUCCGAGGUAUUACAGUUUCCUCCCAAACUCCAAAAAACAUACAUGCAGGCUUUCAAAUGUUGAGAUCAAUCAAGUACAGAAGGAAAGAAAGAAGAAAAUGACAAAGUGUUUACGUUACUGUUCGCUUGCCUGCCCAGAACUCUCUCUCCUUGGUCCUCCCAUAUCAAGAACUGGUGUUAUCCGAAUAGCGGAGGGCUCCUCCCAAAGCAAAAAGUGGUGGUUAUCGGC